GAUCCUGGCUCAGGAUGAACGCUAGCUACAGGCUUAACACAUGCAAGUCGAGGGGCAUCAGUUUGGUUUGCUUGCAAACCAAAGCUGGCGACCGGCGCACGGGUGAGUAACACGUAUCCAACCUGCCUCAUACUCGGGGAUAGCCUUUCGAAAGAAGGCCUAAUACCCGAUGGCAUAUCCCUUCCGCCUGGUGGGGAUAUUAAAGAACUUCGGUUAUCGAUGGGGAUGCGUCACUAGUCUUGUUUGGG
rnacentral:rRNA from 1 species